CAAGACGAACGGUAAGUUUGAUAGCAAUAUUGAACCAAGAGUGUCGUAAGGGUGCGUAACGGGUAUGCAAUCUGCCCUUGACAGGAGGAUAGCUCCCCGAAAGGGGAAUUAACCCUCCAUAAGAUAUUAGAGUGGCAUCACUUAGAUAUUAAAACUGAGGUGGUCAAGGAUGAGCAUGCUUCUGAUUAGCUAGUUGGCGGGGUAACGGCCCACCAAGGCGAUGAUCAGUAGGGGAACUGAGAGGUUGAUCCCCCACACUGGCACUGAGAUACGGGCCAGACUCCUACGGGAGGCAGCAGUAGGGAAUAUUGGACAAUGGGUGAGAGCCUGAUCCAGCCAUGCCGCGUGCAGGAAGACGGCCUUCUGGGUUGUAAACUGCUUUUGCCAGGGGAUAAAAAGCCCAUGCGUGGGAAAUUGAAGGUACCUGGUGAAUAAGCCACGGCUAACUACGUGCCAGCAGCCGCGGUAAUACGUAGGUGGCAAGCGUUGUCCGGAUUUAUUGGGUUUAAAGGGUGCGUAGGCGGUCAAUUAAGUCAGUGGUGAAAUACGUCAGCUUAACUGUCGAGGUGCCAUUGAUACUGGUUGACUUGAGUACUGAUGAGGUAGGCGGAAUGGACGGUGUAGCGGUGAAAUGCUUAGAUAUCGUCCAGAACACCGAUAGCGAAGGCAGCUUACUAAAGAGUAACUGACGCUGAGGCACGAAAGUGUGGGGAUCAAACAGGAUUAGAUACCCUGGUAGUCCACACUGUAAACGUUGAUCACUCGAUGUUGGCGAUACACAGCCAGCGUCUUAGCAAAAGCGAUAAGUGAUCCACCUGGGGAGUACGCCCGCAAGGGUGAAACUCAAAGG
rnacentral:rRNA from 1 species